AUACGGAGGAUGCAAGCGUUAUCCGGAUUUAUUGGGUUUAAAGGGUGCGUAGGCGGAUGAUUAAGCGUGAGGUGAAAUGCCACUGCUCAACAGUGGAACUGCUUCGCGAACUGGUUGUCUUGAAUGCUCCUGCCGUGGGAGGAAUGUGUGGUGUAGCGGUGAAAUGCAUAGAGAUCACACAGAACACCGAUUGCGAAGGCAUCUCACGAAGGGGUGAUUGACGCUGAGGCACGAAAGCGUGGGGAUCAAACAGGAUUAGAUACCCUGGUAGUCCACGCAGUAAACGAUGAUAACUAACCGCUGGGUCGUAGUGAUUCAGUGGCCAAGCGAAAGCGAUAAGUUAUCCACCUGGGGAGUACGACCGCAAGGUUGAAACUCAAAUGAAUUGACGGGG
rnacentral:rRNA from 1 species